UGAUGAUGAUGAUGAUAACGAUGAUGUGGAUAAUGGUAAUAGUGAUGGUGGCAGUGAUGACAAUGGAUAGCAGUGCUGGUUGUUGAUUCAAGUCAUUAUAUACUAAGCACCUACUAUGUGCUAGUCACCGUGCUAGGUUCUGGGGAUACAAAGGCAAAAAUUUAAAUGUCACUGUUCUCAAGGGGCCCACAUUCUACUAGGGGGAAACAAAAGACACAAGAUCUGAAAGGGAGGCUGGCUCCAUGACAAUAACUUGAGGAGCUAGUUUCCCUCUAGGAGAUGUGGAAAGAAUUGGAAAACAGGGAGUCAUUGCAUCUCCAAGCUCUGCAGCAAUUUUGAUCUUUGAGGUUUGCAGUUUUUCCUGUGCCUUCCUUCACUUGAAACCCACAACAAUCCUGUAAGGUAGGUACUGCAAAUAUUAUUAUCCCUAUUCUACAGGAAACUGAGAUUGAGGAAUGCUAAAUGACUUGCCAGUUAGUAAGCAGAAUUGGAACCCAGGUCUUCCAGAUUCCUGCAGCUGAGUUCUAUUUACUGUCAACCUUCACACACAUUAUAUAGUACCUAGCACAGUACGGUGCACUUGACCAGAAAUGAAUGAAUACUUUCUGAAUGCAUGAAAUGAAUCAAUGAAUGAACCAAUGAAUGCAUUGUGGAUAACUGAAAACUGAUUGUAAACACUGGCAUCCCCUCCCAGCCCAGGCUGGCCUUUCUAACCCAUAAACUUCAGAACUUUAAAGAGGAAUAGAGGGUCCAGGACCUAUGGAAUCUGUCUCAGUCACAUUCACAUCACUGAGGUGGGGAGGAGUUCUCACCCAAGUUAAAUGGCAAAAUGAAUACUCUUGCUCCAAUCUCAGAGCAGAACCCAGACUCAUUCUCUUUCUGGAAAAUUCUAUGCCCAGAAAACUUCUCCAGUCCUAGUUGGACACUGUAUGUUUAUCAUUUGGCGAAUGUACACCAAGAUCAAUUAAUUAGUAGUUCAGUACUUGUGACAACAUUCUAUUCUCAGCCUAAUCAUUCAUCCAUGAGAUGAGUCGCUCUAAGCACACCAGAAGGGGGUUUCUGGAGCUUACUUUAUGACUGCACUUUGGGUUUAUUCUUAUUCCCAAACUAAAGGUUAGGGGUUGUAACACCUCUUUGAUGUGCUAUCAGCUCCAAAAGAGGACAGAAGCAGAAAGUAGCCAAAUAAAUGUAGAAGCAAACACAUUAAACUGAUGGUGGACUUUAGCUUUACCAAAUGUGCACUUCUAAGAAUAACUCAAAUUUGGGUAGACAGUAAGGCAUGCAAAAGCCUACGAAAUGUAUGAGAUUAGUGCUAGAAUAAUCAUCCCCAUUUAACAGAUGACAACUGAAAAGGGAAGGGAUUUAGUCCAUAGUCACAUAGCAAGUAAGUCCCUUAGACAUGUUGAAACCCAGUUCUCUUGAUUCCAGAUUCCGAAGCCAGAGUUCUUUCCACAACUCCUCAUUCUAUAUCCGGGAUAUAUUUUUCACCAAAGCUUCGUUUAAUCCAACUCAAUCUAAAUUUCCUUUUUUGUUGUUUUUUUAAACCCUACCUUCUGUCUUAGAAUCAAUACUAAGUAUCUGUUCCAAGGCAGAAGAGCUGUAAGGGCUAGGCAAUGGGGGUUAAGUGACUUGUUUGUGGUCACACAGCUAGGAAGUACAUGGGGUCAGAUUUGAACCUGGGAUCUCCCAUCUCCAGACUUGGCACUCUAUCCACUGAAGCACCUAGCCACCCCCUAAGCUUCCUUUUCAGAAAGAAGGAAGAGGCUGAGACAUUAAAGGCAAACCUCAUCACCAAUGGAGGACUGAGACAGCAAACAUAAAUUAGAUGCGUAGGGACCCCCAAAUUUGCACUUGUACCAUCUGUCUCUACCUGUCACACCACAUCUUGAACACCAGAAUUGCUAAUGAGGAACUCAAAAGAGCCAGGGAGACAGGGGAGAGAACCCAUGAUGGAUGGGAACAAAGGAAAAGAGUGAUUUGGUCCAAAGCAUAGUUGGAGAGACAGGCAGGAAGGGGAUGAUGAGAUACACAAAGAGACAUGCACUCCCCCCCCCACCUACACUUACCACCUGGCAAAGAGCAAGAUAACGGAAAGAGGGGAUCCCGGAGCAGACAGAGAGAAGAGGGAGAAAAUAAUGAGAAGGCUCUAGUUGUGUCAAGGGCGCCAGGCCAGGGUCUUGCCUGUCCAGGGCACCCACUGUCCAGCCAGGCAUAAGGUACUGUGGAUCCCAGAGGGUCCACGCACCUUACUUAGCUCAUGAGCCCCACAGCAGGAAAAUGAGAACAGACCGGUAGUUAGACAUGAGAAAGAGACCAGAGUUUCAGAGUGAAGUCAUCUCAGUUCCAGCAGAGGCCCCUGGCAGUUCUCUAUUCUAGCUAGCCUGCCAAAUUGAGGAGAUCAACUUUGGGCUUCAUAGAAUCAAGUGGAUCUGGCCAGCUCUGGGGUGACCUCACAACUGGGACCAGUUGGGUUUUCCAUCAAAAUGCUCUUAGGAGGCUUUUUUCAUCCAUCCUCAGAAUCUCUGCCUCACCACAAACAAGAGUCAGGAACCUAGGGACAUGCCUGCCCAUUUCACAGAUUCUCGGAGAAGGGCAACUGAGGUCACACAGAAAGUCAAGAACCCAGGCUUCCCAAUUCCCAGUUCUAUCUACAAGGAACCCUAUAUUAAAAUGUGGCACCCGAUGAGUAGGAAGAAGAGAAAGGAAAAGAGAACAAAGGGGAAGAAUAAGAGCUAAUACUUAUAUAGCACUUUAAGGGUUACAAAGUGCUUCCUGCACAUUUCAGAUUUGAUCCUCACGAUGAUCCCCAUUUACAGAUUAGGAAACUAAAACAGAGGUUAACUGAUUUGUUCAUCAGUCACAUAGCUAGUUAGUGGUGGAAGUCAGAUUCCACUCUGGGCCUUCCUGGCCCCACAUUCUUUCUAGAUAAGAAGUUGAAACUGCAACCUGCCUAACGCUCUGUGGCUUUUUUCAAUGUCUUGGGCAUGGCCACCACUAGCUGCCAAAUUUUUCCCUUAUCCCAGAGGUUGAGCAAGAGCCUCAGAGUCAGUAAGUAGCAGGGAUCUGGCCCCUGAGGAUACCCCAUCCUGCCCUCCAUCCUGUUUCCUGGAAUCUCUGUCUCAACACCUCCAGGAGAGAGAGAGACAGCUAAUACCCAUCACCCCAAGGGAAUCCACCAACCACUUGUAUCUUGGCCAAGGCUCACCUGCCCUCCCAGGGAGUUGGAGGGGGGACACAGAGGAGCCCCACACAGGCUCCCUGGGCCGGUCCAGACCUGCAUCUUCCUUCUGCAUGCUGGCCUUUGCCUUUAUCCAUCCCCCACCCCCCCCACCCUUGUCUCCCUUCUCUUCUUCCCCAUCUGCACUUACAUGUCCAUGCAAGUCCGUGUUGAGCAGCAUCAGGGCACAGGUAAGCGUGUGAAUCCCAUCUGAAACACAGCAGAGGCAGGUGGCCCUCAGCCUUGGGUCCCUUCCCUUUCCUGUUACCCAGGGCACCUGGACGGCAAUACAAUUUAGGGAGCUGUCUCCUCGAGGAAGACACACCCUCAGGUCACCUUGAGUAAAGUAGGACUAAAAUUGGGUUGCUUCGGCUUGUUGGAAGGGGAUGAGAGGUUGGUCCAAGAAUGCCCAGGACAGACAGAGAGGACAGAUGGAAAAAGCAGACAAGGCAGAAAAACAGAAAGUACAAUCGAAACAAUAUACAUUCUGGGGGCAACUGCAUGGUUCAGUGGAUUGAGAGCCACACCCAGAGACUGGAGGUCCUGGGUUCAAAUGUGACCUCUGACACUUCCUAGCUGUGACCCUGGACAGUCACUGCCUAGCCCUUACUGCUUUUCUGCCUUGAAAUCAAUGCAUAGUUGAUUGUAAGAUGGAAGCUAAGGAUUUAUAUGUAUAUGCAUUUUGAUUAAAAUGAUGGGUUUCUUAAACUAUGCAGAAAAAGCCCCUGAAUUUAGAAUAACUCCAAAGAGCAAUACCAAAUCUAGAAAUCAAAUGACUACAAAUGCCCAAUAUGGAAGACAUUGAGAGGCAGUUUCUGAGUUGGCUUUGCCUUGGCUGGCUUUCUUUGUAUAAUAGAGGCGAUUGGGGAACCCCUAACUUGCUGAACCAGGGGUCCCUCCCAUGGAGCUGCAUUUGCCUUCGGGCCUCCUGCUGAGAGGACACCCACGAGCUUUUCCAGGAUGACACAGCAGCUUCUGGGGGAAGGGGUGAAAGACGAUUGGACACCAGGAUUUUGUGAGUCAGGAGGCUGCACCAAUCAGGCUAUAAGAGCUCGGGAAACAGCUUCAUCACUGUGCCUCUUUUUUUCUAGCACUUUCUCUCCCUUGGACUUCCAGCAAAGGGAGGGGGGAGAAAUAAAGAAGAUUUCUCUCCCCUCCCUCUCCUAGGCAAUGACCAAAUGACAGAUUGCAACUCAAGCACUGGGGGAGUGCUUGCUUAGGCUAGAAGGAGGCUGGACCCUGGCUGCCUUCUUUUGGUCCCUCUGUCCCUCCCCUGGAGCAAUGCUUGGCAACCAGCAAUCUGGACAAAUGGCAAUGCCAGCCUUGGCAGUGACAUCUAGGGUCAAGAUUUCUUGAGUUUGGGAUUCGGGCAUCAGCUAACUAGAGGGAGGAGCUUCCCACCGAGGCAUGGUACUUCUCAGAGGAGAAGAGCGCCACCCACAGGCAUCUUCAGGCUAAAGAAAGCCAUGACCCACCAGCCUGGAGAUUUGGACUGGCCAAGCACCUCAGGCCCUGAAGAUAAUGAGAAACAUCUGUCGGGCCAUUCCACAUGGAGGUGAUGAGUGCAAUGGGCUUUCCAACGUCUUUUACGUUUCUAUAUUGAUUCAACACCGAGUUAUUUGUUCCUUGUGCAAUGUCUGUGAUGGGAAAAAUAAAUUUUUGUCCUAUGCAUGAUA